UUCAGCCCCACUAAUCUAUCUAGGCACCCCUAAAUUCCGGGGAACUAACAAAUAAAAACUACCCGAUUAGGGCACCCCGGGCCUAGCGAGGACCUAGGUGAGACGAGGCCUAGGCGCCCUUAAUAGGUGGUUAGUGCAAGCAAGGUCGUGACGGCCAAUUGGUAGGCUGGAAUGCUGAGAUUGGCAGCCGGAAGGUCGGGGGCUUAACUAGAACUGGGUAGCUCUGGUGUUAUUCUUAGUGAGGAUCCCACUUAGGUAGGCUAGUUAGAACCUGGGUGGGCGGCGGCACCCUAGGGGGAAUGAUAACCUCUAAUGGUGGCCCGAGAGGAC
rnacentral:sRNA from 1 species